rnacentral:rRNA from 1 species
CCUACGGGAGGCAGCAGUAGGGAAUCUUCCACAAUGGGCGCAAGCCUGAUGGAGCAACACCGCGUGAGUGAAGAAGGGUUUCGGCUCGUAAAGCUCUGUUGUUGGAGAAGAACGUGCGUGAGAGUAACUGUUCACGCAGUGACGGUAUCCAACCAGAAAGUCACGGCUAACUACGUGCCAGCAGCCGCGGUAAUACGUAGGUGGCAAGCGUUAUCCGGAUUUAUUGGGCGUAAAGCGAGCGCAGGCGGUUGCUUAGGUCUGAUGUGAAAGCCGUGGGCUUAACCGAAGAAGUGCAGCGGAAACCGGGCAACUUGAGUGCAGAAGAGGACAGUGGAAUUCCAUGUGUAGCGGUGGAAUGCGUAGAUAUAUGGAAGAACACCAGUGGCGAAGGCGGCUGUCUGGUCUGCAACUGACGCUGAGGCUCGAAAGCAUGGGUAGCGAACAGGAUUAGAUACCCCUGUAGUC